rnacentral:rRNA from 1 species
GUGGGGGAUAUUGCACAAUGGGGGGAACCCUGAUGCAGCGACGCCGCGUGAGUGAAGGAGCACCUCGGUGCGUAAAGCUCUGUCAGCAGGGAAGAAAACGACGGUACCUGACCAAGAAGCCCCGGCUAACUACGUGCCAGCAGCCGCGGUAAUACGUAGGGGGCAAGCGUUAUCCGGAUUUACUGGGUGUAAAGGGAGCGUAGACGGCAAGGCAAGCCUGGAGUGAAAGGCGGGGGCCCAACCCCCGGACUGCUCUGGGAACUGCCUGGCUGGAGUGCAGGAGGGGUAAGCGGAAUUCCUAGUGUAGCGGUGAAAUGCGUAGAUAUUAGGAGGAACACCGGUGGCGAAGGCGGCUUACUGGACUGUGACUGACGUUGAGGCUCGAAAGCGUGGGGAGCAAACAGGA